CCCGCCCCUCAGUCUGCUCUUCACACGGAUACCACGAAUGCCACGGUGGCCUCCUGAAGACGGAGUCUGGUCUCACAUUCCUCCAGCUUCCUGUGAGGCUUCCCCAAAAAUGCAAAUUCAAUCACAAGGCGCCUGGGCUGACGUCUCCCCUCCUAUGCAUAAACCCCAGCGAAGGGUGAGCGCACGGCAUGGCACCUGCAGCAUGGGGUUCACGUUCUGGAAGGUUCUGGCUGACUCCCACCCCGCCCUUCACUGGCCAAGUAAACUUGCAGAAGUUACUUAACCCUUGACCUAGAAGAGCCUCCUGUCACCUGAAAAGGGAAAGUCGGGAUUGUAAGGAAAGGAAUCUCAUAGGGCUUCUCUGAGGAGACAAAUCAUUGGAUUGGGCUUAGACGUUCCAUCCGUGGCAAGAUUUCCGGCUUUGCCCUUUGGAGCCUGAGGAGCAAGGGUAGAAUGAGGAUCGUGAGGUUCUUCAGAGGCAGUUACUCACGAGGUCACAGCGCAGAAACGGCAAGAAAUGUCAGGACAACUAUGGAUGUGAAGGAUGGGAGAGGGGCCUCCUUCCGCAUGAGGUCCCCAGAGGUAUUUGUCUCCAUCUAGAAACUGAGGGGCAUUUGUCUCCAUCCAGGACUUGGGGGGCCUCCUUCUCCAUCCAGGACUGGGGUGUGUCCUUCUGCAUCCAGGACAGGGGGACAUCCUUCUCCAUCCAUGAUUCAGAGUUCAUCCUUCUCUAUCCAGGAGAGGGGUUCAUCCUUCUCCAUCUAGGACUUGAGGGACAUCCUUCUCCAUCCAGGACUGAGAGGCAUCCUUCUCCUUGCAGUACCUGAGGGACAUCCUUCUCCAUUCAGGACCUGAGGAUGUCCUUCUCUGUACUCCCUUGGGACUGCACCCUUUCCUGUGCCAUCCUUCAGAAUGCUAGGCUGUCGCUGGUUGUGGAUUGAACUCUAGCAUCUUAUCUCUAUUCUAGGUGAAUCCCUUCACAUUUAUAGUGAUUUACCAUUUAAUCACUGUGCCAUUUUCCCCAAAAUAUGUGGGGUUUGGGGUUUGGUUUUUGUUCUUACUUCUAUUAAUUCUUCGGUUCCCACCUCCAGUUGUUUUGUAAUUUCUUUUACAACCUAAUAUGGUCCCAUUUGGUAAGUAUUACCAUGUACUAGAAAAUAAUGUAUAUUCAGUAUUUGUUGUGAUUUUUAAACCUUUAAUAAACUCAUAAGAUUUU
ensembl:lncRNA novel transcript